rnacentral:rRNA from 1 species
UACGAAGGGGGCUAGCGUUGCUCGGAAUUACUGGGCGUAAAGGGCGCGUAGGCGGAUAUUUAAGUUAGAGGUGAAAGCCCAGGGCUCAACCCUGGAACAGCCUUUAAUACUGGAUAUCUUGAGUUCGGGAGAGGUGAGUGGAACUCCGAGUGUAGAGGUGAAAUUCGUAGAUAUUCGCAAGAACACCCAUGGCGAAGGCAGCUAUCUGGGCUAACACUGACGCUGAGGUGCGAAAGCGUGGGGGAGCAAACGGG